GAAAUGCGAUAAGUAGUGUGAAUUGCAGAAUUCAGUGAAUCAUCGAAUCUUUGAACGCACAUUGCGCCCCUUGGUAUUCCAUGGGGCAUGCCUGUUCGAGCGUCAUUUGUACCCUCAAGCUCUGCUUGGUGUUGGGUGUUUGUCCCGUCUCCGCGCGUGGACUCGCCCCAAAGUGAUUGGCAGCCGGCGUACUGGUCCCGGAGCGCAGCACAUGUCGCGCAAACGAGUGCAUUGGUACGGCGGCGUCCAUAAGCCCCUCUCUCACGCUCUUGACCUCGGAUCAGGUAGGGAUACCCGCUGAACUUAAGC
rnacentral:misc_RNA from 1 species